rnacentral:rRNA from 1 species
GACGAACGCUGGCGGCGUGCCUAAUACAUGCAAGUCGAACGCUGAAGGAGGAGCUUGCUUCUCUGGAUGAGUUGCGAACGGGUGAGUAACGCGUAGGUAACCUGCCUGGUAGCGGGGGAUAACUAUUGGAAACGAUAGCUAAUACCGCAUAAUAGUAGAUGUUGCAUGACAUUUGCUUAAAAGGUGCAAUUGCAUCACUACCAGAUGGACCUGCGUUGUAUUAGCUAGUUGGUGGGGUAACGGCUCACCAAGGCGACGAUACAUAGCCGACCUGAGAGGGUGAUCGGCCACACUGGGACUGAGACACGGCCCAGACUCCUACGGGAGGCAGCAGUAGGGAAUCUUCGGCAAUGGACGGAAGUCUGACCGAGCAACGCCGCGUGAGUGAAGAAGGUUUUCGGAUCGUAAAGCUCUGUUGUAAGAGAAGAACGAGUGUGAGAGUGGAAAGUUCACACUGUGACGGUAUCUUACCAGAAAGGGACGGCUAACUACGU